rnacentral:rRNA from 1 species
AACGAACGCUGGCGGCGCGCCUAAUACAUGCAAGUCGAGCGAGAAGACGUAGCAAUACGUUUGUAAAGCGGCGAACGGGUGAGGAAUACAUGGGUAACCUACCCUCGAGUGGGGAAUAACUAGCCGAAAGGUUAGCUAAUACCGCGUACGCUCCUUGGACUUCGGUUCAGGGAGGAAAGCGAUACCGUGGGUAUCGCGCUCUUGGAUGGGCUCAUGUCCUAUCAGCUUGUUGGUGAGGUAACGGCUCACCAAGGCUUCGACGGGUAGCUGGUCUGAGAGGACGAUCAGCCACACUGGCACUGCGACACGGGCCAGACUCCUACGGGGAGGCAGCAGUAAGGAAUAUUGCGCAAUGGG